UCUAUGGAUGUACGCCACUUAGGUGUUCCGGCCUCUUCACAUAGAAUCCGAGAAACGUGAACUGGUGGGAGGUAAGGAAUUCAUUACGGUGGCUGAUCCACUGCUGGAAGGCCGUUAUCCAGAGCAAGGCUUGUACCAAGCUCUUUCUCUCACAGCUGAGUGUUUGCAUCGUAAAGAUGUGAAAAGGCACGUUAUCCAGAUCAGUUUGGCUUCAAACAUAUUAUUUUUAAUCCUUUGUGAAUUAAUAUCCUUUGUGAAUUGUAAUCCUUUGUGUAUAAACUUGAAGAGAAUGAAUUCGUGAAAAAAGAUUGAAAUGUCUAAGCAUUUCCUUAACAUCAACAGUGAUAUAAAUCAAUUGGAUUUUGUGAGGUUCAGACAUGUAUUCCAAGUGGAUUUUGGGAGUCUAAGCGUCAUAGCUCUCUUUUGAGCUUCUAUUGUAUCAAGUGGAUUUUUGGUGCCAUGGGAGAAUUGGAUUUUUAAUAUUUGAUCAGA